CGGCUGCUAAUACUUCAUAUGCCGAGAGGUAAAAAAGUUUUAACUGCCUAAGGAUGAGCUCACGCCUGAUUAGCUUGUUGGUAAGGUAAUGGCUUACCAAGGCCACGAUCAGUAGCUGGUUUGAGAGAACGAUCAGCCACACUGGGACUGAGACACGGCCCAGACUCCUCCGGGAGGCAGCAGUGAGGAAUUUUCCGCAAUGGGCGAAAGCCUGACGGAGCAAUACCGCGUGAGGGAUGAAGGAUUUUGGUCUGUAAACCUCUUUUCUCAAGAAAGAAGUUCUGACGGUACUUGAGGAAUAAGCAUCGGCUAACUCCGUGCCAGCAGCCGCGGUAAUACGGGGGAUGCAAGCGUUAUCCGGAAUCAUUGGGCGUAAAGCGCCUGUAGGUUGUUUAUUAAGUCUGUUGUUAAAGCCUAGGGCUUAACCCUAGAGAAGCAAUGGAAACUGGUAGACUANAGUAUGGCAGGGGUAGAGGGAAUUUCUACUGUAGCGGUGAAAUGCGUACAUAUUAGAAAGAACACCAGCGGCGAAGGCGCUCUACUGGACCA
rnacentral:rRNA from 1 species